GGACCUUACGGCGGACUAUACAUGCAAGUCGAACGGUUGGUAGCAAUACCAAUAGUGGCGCACGGGUGCGUAACGCGUAACCAACCUACCCGAAUCUGGGGGAUAGCCCGCCGAAAGGCGGAUUAAUACCGCAUAAAACUGCAGCACGGCAUCGUGUAACAGUUAAAGAUUUAUUGGAUUCGGAUGGGGUUGCGUGCCAUUAGCUAGUUGGGGGGGUAACGGCCCACCAAGGCGACGAUGGCUAGGGGAGCUGAGAGGCUGGUCCCCCACACGGGCACUGAGAUACGGGCCCGACUCCUACGGGAGGCAGCAGUAGGGAAUAUUGGGCAAUGGUCGAGAGACUGACCCAGCCAUGCCGCGUGCAGGAUGAAGGCUUUCUGAGUCGUAAACUGCUUUUACCAGGGAAGAAAAAAGGGGAUGCGUCCUCUACUGACGGUACCUGGUGAAUAAGCACCGGCUAACUCCGUGCCAGCAGCCGCGGUAAUACGGAGGGUGCAAGCGUUGUCCGGAUUUAUUGGGUUUAAAGGGUGCGUAGGCGGCUGAUUAAGUCUGGGGUGAAAGCCCGUUGCUCAACAACGGAACUGCCCUGGAAACUGGUUAGCUUGAGUACAGACGAGGGUGGCGGAAUGGAUACUGUAGCGGUGAAAUGCAUAGAUAGUAUCCAGAACCCCGAUUGCGAAGGCAGCUGCCUAGACUGUAACUGACGCUGAGGCACGAAAGCGUGGGGAGCGAACAGGAUUAGAUACCCUGGUAGUCCACGCCGUAAACGAUGGAUACUCGCUGGUGGCGACAGACUGUCACUGGCUUAGCGAAAGCGUUAAGUAUCCCACCUGGGGAGUACGCUCGCAAGAGUGAAACUCAAAAGAAUUGACGGGGGCCCGCACAAGUGGUGGAGCAUGUGGUUUAAUUCGAUGAUACGCGAGGAACCUUACCUAGGCUAGAAUGCGCGUGACCGGUUCAGAGAUGAGCCUUUCCUUCGGGA
rnacentral:rRNA from 1 species